UUGAAUAUCUUCGUCUGAUUUUGCAGCACUUUAUCCAUUCAUCAACUAUUAGUUUGGAUCUGGCAAAGGUGGUUUAUACCUCUGUGUCGUGUGGCCAACAAAAAUUACCGCCGUUUCAGCAGUCAUCCUGCUAUUCCUACCUAACAAACCAACACACAUAGACAUGGACCCCAAAACCAUUUACUUGUGGACUGCCAAGUCUUUACUUUCUUCAUCGUAAUUCCUGGCCCCACUAUCUUUUUAGUCUUUGAGUAACAGCUAGCUAGGGCAUUUUCCUUUUCUGUCCCAUGUAAAAAGACCUUCAAGAUUUCGAUCGAGUAUUAACUCUCUCAAGCCAUCUAAAAGUAACGCCAUGACAGCAAAAUGAAAAAAAGUGAUGGAAUGCCGAAUAGUAAAUAAAAGUAGGUAGCCGAAUAGUAAGCAGUGGUCUGUAGGAGAUCAUCGUGGAACAUCGUGCAAAAUGUU